UGCAGUCAAGCGGUCAUUAGUCUAGGUUAACCAGAGUUACUGAAUGCUUACUCAGGGUAGAGGACGCGGGCGCUUCCGCGCUGGUAGAAUUUUGGGAAAAGACCAUGAAUUACUUGUGGAAGAGCCUCCACCCCUCUUCCCCCCUUUAAUUCAAAAACCUUUAACGCUCAUAAGUAGUAAAAGCGAUCUUCAUAAGAUUUUAAAGUACGGUGAGAUAUGUGAAAAUUUAAACCUGUCAGUUUAUUAUUCAAACAAAACCGACAAUAGUAUCCAUUUUAAAGUAGUAAAAUAUUCGGACCGUUUUAUGAAAGAACUGCUUUGCCAUAAAAAUCUGCAAAACUUUUGCGAAAA